rnacentral:rRNA from 1 species
GUCCACGCCGUAAACGAUGAUCACUCGUGAUUGGCGAUAUACGGUCAGUCACCUAGCGAAAGCGUUAAGUGAUCCACCUGGGGAGUACGAUCGCAAGAUUGAAACUCAAAGGAAUUGACGGGGCCCGCACAAGCGGUGGAGCAUGUGGUUUAAUUCGAUGAUACGCGAGGAACCUUACCAGGGCUCGAACGUACGUAGACAGUCGCGGAAACGUGAUCUUCUUCGGACUGCGUGCGAGGUGCUGCAUGGCUGUCGU